rnacentral:snoRNA from 1 species
AACCCAUGGUGAGGGCAUCGUUUCAAUAAGUCCUUAUACCUCUCCCAUGCAUCAUAUAGAGUCUCUAAAUCGAUCUUAACAAAAGAAGAGAUAUCAUUCCUUAACUU